rnacentral:tRNA from 2 species
GCUCACGUAGCUCAGUCGGUAGAGCACUUCCUUGGUAAGGAAGAGGUCACAGGUUCGAUUCCUGUCGUGAGCACCA